UACGUAGGGCGCAAGCGUUAUCCGGAAUUAUUGGGCGUAAAGAGCUCGUAGGCGGUUUGUCGCGUCUGCCGUGAAAGUCCGGGGCUCAACUCCGGAUCUGCGGUGGGUACGGGCAGACUAGAGUGAUGUAGGGGGAGACUGGAAUUCCUGGUGUAGCGGUGAAAUGCGCAGAUAUCAGGAGGAACACCGGUGGCGAAGGCGGGUCUCUGGGCCGAUACUGACGCUGAGGAGCGAAAGCGUGGGGAGCGAACAG
rnacentral:rRNA from 1 species